GUCUCUGUGGCGCAAUUGGUCAGCGCGUUCGGCUGUUAACCAAAAGGUGGGGGUUCACCCCACCCAGGGACG
rnacentral:tRNA from 1 species